rnacentral:rRNA from 1 species
CGUAAGGGUGCGUAACGCGUGAGCAACAUGCCCGCAACAGGCGGAUAGACCGUGGAAACGCGGCGUAAACCGCCAUAGGACCAGUAGCAGCAUUGCAACAGGUUGAAAUCUUCGGAGGCUGCGGAUUGGCUCGCGUAACAUUAGCUAGAUGGAGAGGUAACGGCUCACCAUGGCUACGAUGUUUAGGGGAACUGAGAGGUUGACCCCCCACACUGGAACUGAGACACGGUCCAGACUCCUACGGGAGGCAGCAGUGAGGAAUAUUGGACAAUGGAUGGAAAUCUGAUCCAGCCAUGCCGCGUGCAGGAAGAAGGUCCUAUGGAUUGUAAACUGCUUUAGUGCGGGAGCAAUAAGGUCCACGAGUGGACCGAUGAGAGUACCGCAAGAAUAAGCAUCGGCUAACUCCGUGCCAGCAGCCGCGGUAAUACGGAGGAUCCGAGCGUUAUCCGGAUUUAUUGGGUUUAAAGGGUGCGUAGGCUGACUGAUAAGUCAGCGGUGAAAAGCAUAGGCUUAACCUAUGUCUUGCCGUUGAUACUGUCAGACUAGAAUAUAAAUGGAGUAGGCGGAAUGAAUCAUGUAGAGGUGACAUUCAUAGAUAUGAUUUAGAACACCGUUCGCGAAGGCGGCUUACUAAGAUAUAAUCGACGCUGAUGCACGAAAGCGUGGGUAUCGAACAGGAUUAGAUACCCUGGUAGUCCACGCUGUAAACUAUGAUAACUCGCUGUCGGCGAUAGAAUGUCGGUGACCAAGCGAAAGCGAUAAGUUAUCCACCUGGGGAGUACGAUCGCAAGGUUGAAACUCAAAGGAAUUGACGGGGGCCCGCACAAGCGGAGGAGCAUGUGGUUUAAUUCGAUGAUACGCGAGGAACCUUACCUAGACUUGAACGUAACAGUAAU